rnacentral:misc_RNA from 1 species
GAUGAAGAACGUAGCGAAAUGCGAUACGUAAUGUGAAUUGCAGAUUUCAGUGAAUCAUCGAAUCUUUGAACGCACAUUGCGCCCGCUAGUAUUCUGGCGGGCAUGCCUGUUCGAGCGUCAUUUCAACCAUCAAGCCCCCGGCUUGUGUUGGGGACCUGCGGCUGCCGCAGGCCCUGAAAACCAGUGGCGGGCUCGCUAGUCACUCCGAGCGUAGUAAUACAUCUCGCUCAGGGCGUGCUGCGGGUUCCGGCCGUUAAAAGCCUUAUUUACCCAAGGUUGACCUCGGAUCAGGUAGGAAGACCCGCUGAACUUAAGCAUAUCAAUAAGCGGAGGA